rnacentral:lncRNA from 1 species
GCCAUUCGUUCCUAAGGGUGGAGUCAUGCCCUUGCUGUUUGUUUGUUUGUUUGUUUGUUUUUGGUUUUUCUCCGGUUAUAGGAACCGAACUCACGACCUUGCGCUUGCCAGGCAGGCGCUUUUGCAGCUGAGCUAAAUCCCCAGCCCGCCCUUGCUGUUUUUUUAAAAGUCCUACUCUGUGUUGGGUACCUUUCUCUAGCAAAGCACUAUUGUCUCUGCAGUAGGGAAUUAUGUCCCUGCUCCUUGAGUUUCUAAUCUACUGAGAAGAAAUAUUAAAUAGGCAGAAAAGAACAUAUAUACAGAGAGAGAGAGAGAGAGAGAGUGAUGGGGCCUCUGAACCUGUGGGUUCCACAUCCUGGUAUUCAACAACCAUAGAUCCAAAAUACCUGGGUGGAAAAACUGUGUCUGUACUGAACAUGUAUGUAUUACUUUCUUGUUGUUGUUCUCUAAACAAUACAGCCUGCCGAGCACAGUGAUGCACAACUGUAAUCCCAGCACUCGGGAAGGUGAGGCAGGAGGCUCUCUGCAAGUUUGAGGCCAGCCUGGACUACAAAGUGAACUCUGAGGACAUCUUCUGGGGAACACGUGUCCUAAGGCCAUCUGCGGCUGGCUGAUCCCUUUCCAAAAAGGACCACAGCUUCACUCAUGUGAUUCCCAAACUUAAACCAAAACACUCCGUGGGAAUGCUUGGCUUCAUGUUCCACAGUUCCUGUGCCCGGCAGCCACUGCAGGGGAACAGUGCCCACGGUUGCAGUGUCCCCAUCCUGCACCAGGUGGAGCCCAGGAAACUGCAUGGAGAAGACAAGUUUGCCCCUACAGAUCUUCUUGUCCCCACAGAUGCUGUCUCUGGAAGAUUUUCUAGCAUGAUAGAAAAUGUAUCACGUGGCAUAUUUACGUGGCAUAACAACAGUCAAAUAAAACCAUGUUUUCUUCAAAUUACAUUUUGAAUUGCACCAGCUCUAAAUUCAGCACAAUUAUAUCUAUAUUCUAAAUCAGGGAUGGCGAUCCUUUUAAAGACCAAGUGCCCAAACCCAAAACCCACUUAUGUAUUGCAAAGGGCCAACACUGCAAUUAAACCUGAA